GUAGUACUCCCUCCAUUCCAAAUUACUCGUCGUUAAAAUGGAUGUAUCUAGAAUUAAAAUACAUCUAGAUACAUCCAUACGUGCGACAAGUAAUUCGGAACGGAGGGAGUAGCAU
rnacentral:pre_miRNA from 1 species